UCCUACGGGAGGCAGCAGUAAGGAAUAUUGGUCAAUGGGCGCAAGCCUGAACCAGCCAUGCCGCGUGCAGGAAGACGGCCCUCCGGGUUGUAAACUGCUUUUGGACGGGAA
rnacentral:rRNA from 1 species